AUACAAUGAAUAAAGUGUGAUGACUGAGUGUUCACACUCGUGUAAGAUAUGCCUCCCUCAAACGUUGUCAUGAAAUAAGCACAUUGCCCAACUGAUA
rnacentral:snoRNA from 2 species